UGGUGGAGUGAUUUGUCUGCUUAAUUGCGAUAACGAACGAGACCUUGGUCUGCUAACUAGCAACGCAUUUCUUUGUAAAGGCGGCUUGCUUCUUAGAGAGACUGUGUACGCUCCCUAGUACACGGAAGCACGAGGCAAUAACA
rnacentral:rRNA from 1 species